rnacentral:rRNA from 1 species
UCUCAGUUCGGAUUGGAGUCUGCAACCCGACUCCAUGAAGCUGGAUUCGCUAGUAAUCGCGCAUCAGCCACGGCGCGGUGAAUACGUUCCCGGGCCUUGUACACACCGCCCGUCAAGCCAUGGGAGCCGGGAGUGCCUGAAGUACGUGACCGCAAGGAGCGUCCUAGGGUAAGACCGGUGACUGGGGCUAAGUCGUAACAAGGUAUC